ACGGAGGAUCCAAGCGUUAUCCGGAUUUAUUGGGUUUAAAGGGUGCGUAGGCGGCUCAUUAAGUCAGGGGUGAAAGACGGCAGCUUAACUGUCGCAGUGCCUUUGAUACUGAUGGGCUUGAAUACACUUGAGGUAGGCGGAAUGUGACAAGUAGCGGUGAAAUGCAUAGAUAUGUCACAGAACACCGAUUGCGAAGGCAGCUUACUAAAGUGAGAUUGACGCUGAGGCACGAAAGCGUGGGGAUCAAACAGGAUUAGAUACCCUGGUAGUCCACGCCCUAAACGAUGAACACUCGAUGUUGGCGAUAUACGGUCAGCGUCAAAGCGAAAGCGUUAAGUGUUCCACCUGGGGAGUACGCCCGCAAGGGUG
rnacentral:rRNA from 1 species